GACGAACGCUGGCGGCGUGCCUAAUACAUGCAAGUAGAGCGCUGAAGGAGGAGCUUGCUUCUCUGGAUGAGUUGCGAACGGGUGAGUAACGCGUAGGUAACCUGCCUGGUAGCGGGGGAUAACUAUUGGAAACGAUAGCUAAUACCGCAUAAGAGUAGAUGUUGCAUGACAUUUACUUAAAAGGUGCAAUUGCAUCACUACCAGAUGGACCUGCGUUGUAUUAGCUAGUUGGUGAGGUAACGGCUCACCAAGGCAACGAUACAUAGCCGACCUGAGAGGGUGAUCGGCCAAACUGGGACUGAGACACGGCCCAGACUCCUACGGGAGGCAGCAGUAGGGAAUCUUCGGCAAUGGACGGAAGUCUGACCGAGCAACGCCGCGUGAGUGAAGAAGGUUUUCGGAUCGUAAAGCUCUGUUGUAAGAGAAGAACGAGUGUGAGAGUGGAAAGUUCACACUGUGACGGUAUCUUACCAGAAAGGGACGGCUAACUACGUG
rnacentral:rRNA from 1 species